GAACAUGGUGCGGACAUGCUCUUAAAAGGUCUUUAUAUCUCUCCCAGGCUUCAAAAAGUGAUUCACCUUGGUUUUUAACGAACCUAGUGAUCCAGUUCUUAAGGAC